rnacentral:rRNA from 1 species
AGAGUUUGAUCCUGGCUCAGGAUGAACGCUGGCGGCGUGCCUAAUACAUGCAAGUCGAACGCUGGAGAUCUAGCUUGCUAGAUCGAAGGAGUGGCGAACGGGUGAGUAAUACAUAAGCAACCUACCCACGAAGACUGGGAUAAUCUCUGGAAACGGGGACUAAUACCGGAUAGGUAAUCGGAAGGCAUCUUCUGGUUAUUAAAGGUUAAAAACACUGGUGGAUGGGCUUAUGGCGCAUUAGUUAGUUGGUGAGGUAACGGCCCACCAAGACGAUGAUGCGUAGCCGGCCUGAGAGGGUGAACGGCCACAUUGGGACUGAGACACGGCCCAGACUCCUACGGGAGGCAGCAGUAGGGAAUUUUCGGCAAUGGGGGCAACCCUGACCGAGCAACGCCGCGUGAGUGAAGACGGCCUUCGGGUUGUAAAGCUCUGUUGUAAGGGAAGAACGGUAGAUAGAGAAUAUCUAAGUGACGGUACCUUACCAGAAAGCCACGGCUAACUACGUGCCAGCAGCCGCGGUAAUACGUAGGUGGCGAGCGUUAUCCGGAAUUAUUGGGCGUAAAGGGUGCGUAGGCGGCCUGUUAAGUAAGUGGUUAAAUUGUUGGGCUCAACCCAAUCCAGCCACUUAAACUGGCAGGCUAGAGUAUUGGAGAGGCAAGUGGAAUUCCAUGUGUAGCGGUAAAAUGCGUAGAUAUAUGGAGGAACACCAGUGGCGAAGGCGGCUUGCUAGCCAAAGACUGACGCUCAUGCACGAAAGCGUGGGGAGCAAAUAGGAUUAGAUACCCUAGUAGUCCACGCCGUAAACGAUGAAUACUAAGUAUUGGGGAAACUCAGUGCUGCAGCUAACGCAAUAAGUAUUCCGCCUGUGGAGUAUGCACGCAAGUGUGAAACAUAAAGGAAUUGACGGGGGCCCGCACAAGCGGUGGAGUAUGUGGUUUAAUUCGACGCAACGCGAAGAACCUUACCAGGCCUUGACAUCCCUUGCAAAGCUGUAGAGAUACAGUAGAGGUUAUCAAGGAGACAGGUGGUGCAUGGUUGUCGUCAGCUCGUGUCGUGAGAUGUUGGGUUAA